rnacentral:sRNA from 1 species
UUGCGUGACGAAGCGCGUGGCAAAGUGGACAAUAACGCCUGAGCUAUGCGUGAGUCCCCCCUAACGCCGGUUAAGCCGGCGUUUUUUA